UGGUUCUUCAAACGUUCAAAGACCUUUGAACGCUGAUCAGAUAUUUUUAAUCGCUUUGAUUAUCUCAUUUCAGACAAAUUCCUUAGACUUGCCAUUAAUUCGCUACAAGCUUCUGCCACGGUGCUAUUUCCUAUCGGAUGUGACGCGAUCGAUCGUCAUCUUCGCAUUGCAAACGUUGCAUAAUCGUUGAACAUGCUUCUCGAACAAGCAAGCACAUGUGAAAUUCAUACUCGUUAGAGUUCUCUUUAAUGCUUCUUAUCAAACCUUUCUGAUAAGACUCGGAUUACGUAAAAAUCUCCCCUCCUAUGUACUCGCCGCGAACUUUCACCUGUGCAGGAAUUUUGGCCGAUUUUUCUCCUUCUUUUCUCUGUUUUUCUUUCUCCUCUUCUUUUUUAGUUUCCUAUUGUUUGUUGUUUUCGGAACACUUGAUUUGCCUAUACUCACAACGAACCAUACUAUCCCAGGUAUUGAUCCUCCGCGCAUAGUUUCCUCUCGUUCAUUUGCUAGUAUGCGCUACGUGCUCAUGCAGGCGGAGUAUUUCCAAGACUCGUGUGGUUUCCCAAGGCUCGACGCGCCGGAAAUUCGUCUGAUGGUCUUUUCCAAGAGCCACGGUUUUCGUAUUCCCUUCGCAAUGGCUUUACAGAGCAUUGUCGAUGAAAGAGACUUCUUGUUCAGAGAAUGCUCGAGAGGAGUUUCCAUUAAAGCGUAUCUAGUUCGAGAAACAUUUCCUGCGCACGAUUCUGUCACUCGACCCAAGUACUCCUUUUCUAUUACUGUCGUUACAUCUCUGCAUCGUUCGACGAUGCUUCUUUUCUUCUUUUGCUUCCCACUCCUCGUCUCUUUCUAAUUCCGCCAGUUCAAAGACGCUACAAGGAUCAUUUACGAAGCUGUUGAUAAUCUCUUCGAGCUCCUCUCGUCUGUAGAAAUAGAGCCGCGAUCUUUUUGAUGUUGGAAACGAUCUCUCUUGCUUUAUGCAAGUCGAAGUGGAGUACGCGUAAUUAAAAGCUAAAGGGAAGAAUAGAAAACAAUUGCCUUUAGUCGGUUCUAGUAGAACGAUAUGAAAGUAUCGGACGAUUAAAUACGAUGAUUAAAAACGCGCCUUUCUGUACGAGAUAUUUUAGCACGCGAUGUAUUCCCGAUUUCUUCGUAUCUUCCUAUAAUCUAGAAUUCAUCGAGGUAAAACAAUAGAUUCCACGAACGUCGAAAAUCAACUAUACAUGUAAUAGUUGAUCUGUCAAAUAUUGUUGUUGUUAAAUAUUGACAACGAAAUUUUCCCGUCGAACAACGUCGAGGAUCGCGCGCGCGAUGAAGAACAGUCGAUGAAAAUCGCAAGCAGCCUCCGGUGACGUUCCUCUGCACGCACCACCGCAUUAAUAUUUAUUGCUAGCCAGGUAGAAUUCGCUGUGGAAUCGUCUACUUUCCUUUGCGCUGUUCGUAAUCGAAGCAAAUCGAGUUCGUCGAGCUUUGAAACCAUUAACGUGAAUAAAUGAGAAAAAGUGGGAAAAGAAGCUAACGAAACAGAAAAAAGAAAAAGAAAAGAAAUGGAAAAAUGGGGAAAGAAGAUCGAGGCACGCAUGGAAACUCGUUAUGGAAAUACUUGGCCCGUGGGCGUCCUCUUCAUCUGCAUAUCCCUCAACUUGAUGCGGCGAAAGCUCCGCCAAUCCCCACUGCCACUGGUUUAAGUUGACCGUCACGAAAAUAGCACUCCCCCGUUCGACGAGAUCGUUGAUGCGACUUCUUUUCAGUACGCCGCUCUUCAUCGCGGAAUAGGAAGCUCCUCUUCUUCGCUGGCUCGCCGCUCGUUUAUCACGGUUAAGGCAAUUUCGCGUCCAACGUCGAGCAAAACGCUCGGAACAACCUUCGUGAAAACUAUUCUCAGUGUAAUUUUUGAGGGCAGCAGACGCUUCGAUCGACGAAUCCUAGUCGUCGGUUAACGAACCUACCCGGUAGACAUAUUGUAACUAGUUCAACCGCGAAUCGAUGGCGAACGUUGUAAAGCGAGCUUUCUGCCUCGCAUGUUAUGUUUCGUGUGUGCGCCGACUUACAAUUAGUCAAGGCUGUUUCUUUAACGAUCAUCGACCCUACGAACACGUCGACUGGCAUUCCGAUUCUAAUCGUUUCGUAUUCCUCCAGCGAUAAAACGAAUUCUGCUUUGAAACAAAAGUGAAGCUUCCUGGGACGCGGAGUCAGUGCGUUUAGAAAAAUAGGUGUUUCCAGUAAAACGAGUAUUUUAAACAGAAUUUAAUACCGUGACAAUGUUAGAUAUUUAGAGUAUUUAAAAAGAACUCAGACGACAAAUUACUCGCGCCUCUUCAUUCUCUUCACUUUCAUGGAUUCUCCAAGCAUUCUCAUGAACUUCGUACCUCGUGAACUCCCGUGAACUUUCCACUGUCGGCAAAGCAAGGCGAGUUAUCUCUAGUGUUAUACAAAAUUAACGCAAGUUGCUAGUUGCUCGACUCAGCUUAAUUCAGCCACUUCAUCAUUAACUAGUAUCAAACCUACUUCAACCUCGGACGAACGUCAACCAACCGGCCAACUUUUCUUCCUUUAACUCUGCUACGUGCUUUCCGUCAUCCGACGAUCUCUUCACGCGUCUAAAUCAAACGCGUGAUGUUUGUUGAAGAUUAGCAGGCAAAAGUAUCUCGCAGACUGUAGUCAGACUAAUUUCCCCAGAACCGUUGCUCCACGAGUAUAGUUCUAUGCAUAGUUGUUGCGAUAGUUGCAUAAAAUCUGUUUGCUUGAAACGUCGUAUCUAGCAUUUCUCCAUCAGCCGAAACAUUUUAAAACGCCUGAAAUUUCUCGUGUAUUUUCAGCCCUUAAACCGAGUCGUACCACGUAGACUGUUGCGAAAUUCUGGCUAAAUAUUUUAAUCCUAUUGUUCUGACCGGGUCUGUAGCCGAAAUGAAUAUUACAUUUCGCUAGAUACUAUCUGAAGCUUGCAAAUAUCGCAUUUUGCAAUGCCACUCGUUACACGAAUAAAUUAAGAGACCUAAGAAAAGGAUAUGGGAAGCGAAGAGACGAAGAGAAGAGCAGAAUUAAAUGGAGCGAAGGCAAUCGUGGCAAACAGUGUAAUAUAAAUCGUCAGCUUCGAAGUGACUGAGAGGAACAGGAAAACUAUACCCAGCGAUCGCUUGUAAUCAAUUCUUCGUGAAAAUAGAAGCCAGAUGAGGACCUAACGAUCGUCGAUUCUCCGUCAGACCGAGCCAUAUUCUUCGCCAAUUACGAAACAUAACGGUGAAGGUUGUAAUUAGGAAACAUCGCCAGGCCGAGCUGCAAGCACGAGGCACCCGGCGUCUGAAAUUUCCCGGAAACUUUCAACCCGUUUUACGUAAACAUGUCUAUGCGC